GUGAAAUAGAGUGGUCGACGCAUACAAUAAAACUGCAAGUUGUAUAUGAUACUUUCAGACUGCUUAAUCUAUUCCAAGUAUAAAACAAAUCUAUUACAACCAAGUAAUUUCGUUGAAUAUUUAUGUCGCCCGCAGAUGCCGCAGGUUGGAAUUAUUCUUAUUGUACGCGACUAAUUUGCAGGCCGUAUAUAAUUAUGUAUACAAUAAACAUAAACUAAAAAUCGUUACUACUCCAUUAACGUCGAAUAAGAUGAGUGAAAUGUUUUUUUAGACGUGAUGAGUUAUUACAACUAUACGCACGAUUAGCACGAUAAUAUACUAUAUAAUAAUGAUCAUUGGUCAACGGAACAUCUUAUACUCCAACUUCACUGUACAGCAUCAUUACAACAAAAUAAAUAUAUUUUCGCUGAAUAUCGAAAAGCCAAGUAUUUUACCCUUCCGUCAGAUCCAGAACAUAUUGUGUAAAUAAUAUAUUAUCAGAAAGUUAUGUUGACAGACCGAAUAAAGAUAUUUUUUGACGUAAAAUGU